GGUUGUGGCUCAGCGGUAGAGCACUCGCCUAGCACAUUUGAGGCCCUGGGUUCACUCCUCAGCACCA
rnacentral:tRNA from 1 species